UUUGCGACACGCCUUCACCGGUGACUUUGGUGUGAAGCAGCCUACUAAGGCACGCGGUGAAUGCCAAUCGCUCUUG
rnacentral:pre_miRNA from 1 species